rnacentral:rRNA from 1 species
GACGAACGCUGGCGGCGUGCUUAACACAUGCAAGUCGAACGGAAAGGCCCUGCUUUUGUGGGGUGCUCGAGUGGCGAACGGGUGAGUAACACGUGAGUAACCUGCCCUUGACUUUGGGAUAACUUCAGGAAACUGGGGCUAAUACCGGAUAGGAGCUCCUGCUGCAUGGUGGGGGUUGGAAAGUUUCGGCGGUUGGGGAUGGACUCGCGGCUUAUCAGCUUGUUGGUGGGGGAGUGGCUGACCAAGGCUUUGACGGGUAGCCGGCCUGAGAGGGUGACCGGCCACAUUGCGACUGAGAUACGGCCCAGACUCCUACGGGAGGCAGCAGUGGGGAAUCUUGCACAAUGGGCGGAAGCCUGAUGCAGCAACGCCGCGUGCGGGAUGACGGCCUUCGGGUUGUAAACCGCUUUCGCCUGUGACGAAGCGUGAGUGACGGUAAUGGGUAAAGAAGCACCGGCUAACUACGUG